rnacentral:lncRNA from 1 species
UUGGCUCUGAUGGAAGUGUUGCAGCCAUUAGCUUUCCUAUUGGAAGGACAAGAAUCUGAGCUGAAACAGAACCAAUGUACAGAUGAUUCUGGCGGUAACCAAAGAAUUGGUUUCCAAAAGCAAGCAGGCAACAUGAAGUUAGCCCCAGUACGAUGUUCUAAAUGUUAAAGUCAGCAUUGACGUAUGAUCAGUGAUUAGAACUGUAAGCCUCACUUCCUCAAUUGGGUUGUCAUUAACUUCUUCAUCUUCUGUGUGAAUGCAUCACCAUGGAAUAAAACAAACAUAUAGGUCAUCAAAUAAUAUGAUGCAUUCUAAGCCAACAUGCCAUUUUAGAUCCCGGGAAUUGAUUACCUUUUACAUUUGCAUCUGUUUGAUUAAUUUCCAGUGACUUUGAUUGAAGCAUCCCAUCUUGAACAUAAGUUCCCGUCUCUCUCCUUCAGUUCUUGGACUAAAAUGGAAAUGCACAUUGCCUGGUGGAUAUGCACGAGUGGGACUAUUGGCAGCCCUCUAAAUACCUCUAAACACCCCAUUAAUUAUUUUACAAUUUUAACCUUUAAUAAAAUUAUACAAUAAGACAAUUUCUAAUUAAACCCCCACUCAAAAUCAAAUUAUUUUUUCCCCUUAAAACUUCCUUAUUGCUAUUGUUAUUAUCAUUGACAUAAAAUCAUUCAUUCCUCUUAGAUUUGUUCCAUUAUCAUGCUCUUCACAUAAAAUCAUUGCUAUUAGAUUUGUUAAUAUAAGUCAUUUCAUAGAGGUAUGUAAAACUUUAGAAAUUCAAAUCAUGCUCCAGUAUCUUUAUUAUUGGACUAAUUUUUGUAUGACUUUUUUCUGCAGGUGUUCAUGCUUCUAGCUUCACCUAUUCCUCCUAUUGUGAAUGGUUGGAUUAAGUAUCAUGAACCAUGUGC